rnacentral:rRNA from 1 species
UGGGGAAUAUUGCACAAUGGAGGGAACUCUGAUGCAGCGACGCCGCGUGAACGAAGAAGGCUUUCGAGUCGUAAAGUUCUUUUAUAUGGGAAGAUAAUUACGGUACCAUAAGAAAAAGCUCCGGCUAACUACGUGCCAGCAGCCGCGGUAAUACGUAGGGGGCUAGCGUUGUCCGGAAUCACUGGGCGUAAAGGGUUCGCAGGCGGAAAUGCAAGUCAGGUGUAAAAGGCAGUAGCUUAACUACUGUAAGCAUUUGAAACUGCAUAUCUUGAGAAGAGUAGAGGUAAGUGGAAUUUUUAGUGUAGCGGUGAAAUGCGUAGAUAUUAAAAAGAAUAACGGUGGCGAAGGCGACUUACUGGGCUCAUUCUGACGCUGAGGAACGAAAGCGUGGGUAGCAAACAGG